UGAGGAAUAUUGGUCAAUGGGCGAGAGCCUGAACCAGCCAAGUAGCGUGCAGGAUGACGGCCCUAUGGGUUGUAAACUGCUUUUAUGUGGGGAUAAAGUGCGUGACGUGUCAUGCAUUGCAGGUACCACAUGAAUAAGGACCGGCUAAUUCCGUGCCAGCAGCCGCGGUAAUACGGAAGGUCCGGGCGUUAUCCGGAUUUAUUGGGUUUAAAGGGAGCGUAGGCUGUCUAUUAAGCGUGUUGUGAAAUUUACCGGCUCAACCGGUGGCUUGCAGCGCGAACUGGUCGACUUGAGUAUGCAGGAAGUAGGCGGAAUUCAUGGUGUAGCGGUGAAAUGCUUAGAUAUCAUGACGAACUCCGAUUGAGCAGGCAGCUUACUGUAGCAUAACUGACGCUGAUGCUCGAAAGGGCGGGUAUCAAACAGG
rnacentral:rRNA from 1 species